rnacentral:rRNA from 1 species
AGCAGCCGCGGUAAUUCCAGCUCCAAUAGCGUAUAUUAAAGUUGUUGCAGUUAAAAAGCUCGUAGUUGAAUUUCGGGAUCAAUUAAUUGGUCGUGCCUCUGGUACGUACUGAUUUUAUUGGUUUCUCCCUUCUGACGAACCAUGAUGUCAUUAAUUUGAUGUCGUGGAGAAUCAGGACUGUUACUUUGAAAAAAUUAGAGUGUUUAAAGCAAGCUAACGCUUGAAUACAUUAGCAUGGAAUAAUGAAAUAGGACGUUUGAUCCUAUUUUGUUGGUUUCUAGGAUCGACGUAAUGAUCAAUAGGGAUAGUUGGGGGCAUUAGUAUUCAAUUGUCAGAGGUGAAAUUCUUGGAUUUAUUGAAGACUAACUACUGCGAAAGCAUUUGCCAAGGAUGUUUUCAUUAAUCAAGAACGAAAGUUAGGGGAUCGAAGACGAUCAGAUACCGUCGUAGUCUUAACCAUAAACUAUGCCGACUAGGGAUCGGAUGAUGUUAAUUUUUUAAUGACUCAUUCGGCGCCUUACG